GGGAGCGUUAUAUAAAGUGGCAAAUAGGGAGGUACGGGGCUAAGAACAGCAACUGGGCAGUUGGUACAGGAGAGCGGUUGGUGUUGUGUGUGGAAACAAGUGUUUAAAACAAAGUAAACAACGUGACCAGGAGAGUGGGGUUCGUUUACAAAAGGACAUCAGACCAGGAAUAAACGGAAUACAGUGGUGGAUACCAGUGAAACGAACUAUGGACAGAGGAAAACAACUACGGUGCAGCAAGGCAGUUGAAACAAACUUUUAAUAUCCUAAACGGGAGUGGGGUUUGGAUUUUUAAGAGAUCUGUGUCGUGUGUUUUCAAGCUGGGGCUGUGAGUGAAAACAGCAACCAAAGACAGUUUUAUUCCUGCGAUAACGAGUGUGGAGUGUGUUCAUUUGAACUUGGCGUGUAUAGUGCAGAGAUAAACAGCUUGUAAAACAACGCUGGUACCAGAGACGUUAUAAAAGUGUACAAAGUAGUGCUUUGUGAAAUUUGUGCUGGGUUUAAGGACUGUGUAUUAUUCAAAAGGAUCACCAGGACACGUGGAGACGGGAAAUCCCUGCAGUAUAUAAAUGUGUAUUAAAACUACAAGUAUUUCUCAGUUUUAUAGAGUCAACACAGUUAAUUUCAAGACCUUUUAUUUUUAGUUGUUGGCUGGAACGAAUACGUGGUAUUUUGAGUUAGCUCUGUUCGGGAAAACAAGCCUUGUUCUUUUCUUUUACUUUAUAAACGCUGGGAUUACUUCAUCCUCCUUACCAGGAUUUACCUGCUGGGGGCACCCUUGGUCGUCGGUGAAACCUGAAAGCAGAACGGAAGUUUGUACAGCCCUAGGCACGGAUUAUACAGUUGCAACGAUGAAACAAAGUACAUUUUCUUGGAAGGCCUCCUGGUGGCGAGUAGUGGAAUUGUAGGCCAGAGGACUUUCAACUCAAUCUUGACAAGCCUGUUCCAGCCCAGCUCAGGCGUGAGUAUGUGAAUGGGAGGCACAUGUACACAGAGCUCUCCGCUGUCAAAGGAGAUGGAAGUGUGUCUGCAGUAUGAUGUGCUGUUCCAGGGUCUACCUGUUCGAGAGCACCUCCUGCUGUACGUAUCUAUCAAAGCACCUCAGUGGAGGAGAGGCUAACUGUGUCAGGAAGUGAACAGCACUGACAGGACUCGGGAGGGAGACUGGAGCCAGCCUGCUUCUCAAACAGAUAACUGCACUGCUGAACAAACACCACAGCAGAAGAGACUGGGAAGGAGCCUUAGCUAACUUACUUCUGCCAGUUCUUUUUGUCACCAUGGCAAUGGCCCUUUUCACUGUAAAAACGCUGGUGAUUGAUUAUCCAUCACUCAAGCUGACUCCCCAGUUAUACAACGCUGCAGGGUUGUUUUUCAGAGAAAAUUCAUCCUGCUGGUGGUCUGACCCUGAUUCUGUGGAAUACCUCCCCGAAAAUGCAAAUGUGUGUCAAGCCGUCAACAGGUGGAAACCUCUGGUGAUCCCAGCAGAGAGGGCGUUGGAUAUGCACCACAGCCGGGGCACAACUCCGCCGCGGGGUUUUCUCAAAAAAGUCUCCCAGCCGUCAUCCCAGACCUCCUUUUCCCGCUCUCCCUUAUCUCCUCUCUCCACUCUUUUCCCCAUUUUCAAAAAUAAUAAAAAAAAAAAAAAAAUCAAAUUAAAAAAAUGUUCCCGCAAUAUCACUGGUCUCACUCUCUGAGGCAAUGAUAUC